GAGGAUUUAGCUUAAUUAAAGUGUCUGGUUUGCGUCCAGAAGAUGUGGGGUAUAGUCUCGCAAUCUUUG
rnacentral:tRNA from 1 species